GAAUUAAUGGGCUAACCAACUGGCUGCAACAUCUGUCCUCUCAUGGAUCCCCAGGGUUGAGUCAACUGGUCGGGAUGGCUCUGCAGGCGUCUGUCCCCUUCCUCCCUCAAAGCUCCAAAUACUUCCCUCCCUAUGCUGUGUGCUGAGGGCAGCGGUAUUGCACCAAAGUGAAAGACUCUGGGGUGGCUGGGUA
rnacentral:snRNA from 1 species